rnacentral:ncRNA from 1 species
UUCUUGCGCUGUCUGGUGAGCUCGCGUCGGCCCUUGAAAAUCCGAGUGAGGGAGUGUGAUUUUCGUGCCGGACCGUACCCACAUCCGCAGCAGGUCUCCAAGGUGAACAGCCUCUAGUCGAUGGACCAAUGUUAGUAAGGGAAGUCGGCAAAACGGAUCCGUAACCUUGGGAUAAGGACUGGCUCUGAGGACUGAGCCGGUCGGGCUGGGGACCUGAAGCAGGCACGGCACUGCACCGGGACUGGGCGGGGCUCGCCGUUCACGCGGCGCGGCCAAGCCCGGACCAGCGUCGGGACCUUCCUGUGGAAAGCCUCAGCUGCGCGGCGUCUGAGGGCUUCGUGCCCAAAGUGCUAUGCUUCGGCCGGCAAAAAACAGUCAACUCAGAACUGGCACGGACCGGGGGAAUCCGACUGUCUAAUUAAAACAAAGCAUUGCGAUGGCCGCUGGUCGGUGUUGACGCAAUGUGAUUUCUGCCCAGUGCUCUGAAUGUCAACGUGAAGAGAUUCAUCAAAGCGCGGGUAAACGGCGGGAGUAACUAUGACUCUCUUGACACCCCGGUGGGCUAUUUUCAUGCACCGGUGGAGAGUGGUGGGCUUGGGAUCCCUGCCUUGCGGCAUAUGCUGCCAAGGCUCAAGAUACAAAGAAUGGCCAUGCUUAGGAUGAGUGAUGUUCCUGCAUGCGGAGACGCAGUGAAAUGUCCAGCCCUCAAACUAGAAGAACAGAAGGCAAUGAAUCUGCUUACAGU